AGCGUAGGCGGAUUUUUAAGUAAGAUGUGAAAUACUCGGGCUUAACCUGAGUGCUGCAUUUCAAACUGGAAGUCUAGAGUGCAGGAGAGGAGAAGGGAAUUCCUAGUGUAGCGGUGAAAUGCGUAGAGAUUAGGAAGAACACCAGUGGCGAAGGCGCUUCUCUGGACUGUAACUGACGCUGAGGCUCGAAAGCGUGGGAGCAAACA
rnacentral:rRNA from 1 species